CCUACGGGUGGCAGCAGUGGGGAAUAUUGCACAAUGGGGGAAACCCUGAUGCAGCGACGCCGCGUGAGUGAAGAAGUAUUUCGGUAUGUAAAGCUCUAUCAGCAGGGAAGUGAAUGACGGUACCUGAGUAAGAAGCCCCGUCUAACUAGGUGCCAGCAGCCGCGGUAAUGCGUAGGGGGCAAGCGUUAUCCGGAUUUACUGGGUGUAAAGGGAGCGUAGACGGCGAAGAAAGUCUGAAGUGAAAGCCCGCGGCUCAACCGCGGAACUGCUUUGGAAACUUUUUGUCUGGAGUACCGGAGAGGUAGGCGGAAUUCGUAGUGUAGCGGUGAAAUGCGUAGAUAUUACGAGGAACACCAGUGGCGAAGGCAGCUUACUGGACGGUAACUGACGUUGAGGCUCGAAAGCGUGGGGAGCAAACAGGAUUAGAUACCCUAGUAGUC
rnacentral:rRNA from 1 species